UACGAAGGGGGCUAGCGUUGUUCGGAUUUACUGGGCGUAAAGCGCACGUAGGCGGAUUUGUCAGUCAGGGGUGAAAUCCCGGGGCUCAACCUCGGAACUGCCUCUGAUACAGCAAAUCUCGAGUCCGGAAGAGGUGAGUGGAACUCCUAGUGUAGAGGUGAAAUUCGUAGAUAUUAGGAAGAACACCAGUGGCGAAGGCGGCUCACUGGUCCGGAACUGACGCUGAGGUGAGAAAGCGUGGGGAGCAAACAGG
rnacentral:rRNA from 1 species